GACGAACGCUGGCGGCGUGCUUAACACAUGCAAGUCGAACGGAAAGGCCCUGCUUUUGUGGGGUGCUCGAGUGGCGAACGGGUGAGAAACACGUGAGUAACCUGCCCUUGACUUUGGGAUAACUUCAGGAAACUGGGGCUAAUACCGGAUAGGAGCUCCUGCUGCAUGGUGGGGGUUGGAAAGUUUCGGCGGUUGGGGAUGGACUCGCGGCUUAUCAGCUUGUUGGUGGGGUAGUGGCUUACCAAGGCUUUGACGGGUAGCCGGCCUGAGAGGGUGACCGGCCACAUUGGGACUGAGAUACGGACCAGACUCCUACGGGAGGCAGCAGUGGGGAAUAUUGCACAAUGGGCGGAAGCCUGAUGCAGCAACGCCGCGUGCGGGAUGACGGCCUUCGGGUUGUAAACCGCUUUCGCCUGUGACGAAGCGUGAGUGACGGUAAUGGGCAAAGAAGCACCGGCUAACUACGUG
rnacentral:rRNA from 1 species